rfam:Ciona savignyi cont_28723, whole genome shotgun sequence.
GGUCCUGUGGCCCAAUGGAUAAGGCGCCUGACAACGAAUCAGGAGAUUACAGGUUCGAGUCCUGGCAGGAUCG